rnacentral:rRNA from 1 species
CUUUGUGUUUGUGAAUGCAUGUUGGGUGUUCAUGCAAGUGUCUCAUGAACACAGGAUGCUUGGUAAACCCACUUCACUCAUCAUGCCCCUAUCAUUUCUACACACGCUUCCCAUCUGCCCAUCAUUGCUACGCAUGCUGCUUGCCACACUUGAGGCUGGUCUAGUCUGUCAUGGAAUUUGGGUGCUGUUCUGUUGCCACAGGAGACAAAAGUUUCAACAACGUUUCUAAAAGUGAACCUG